UGAUAGUCCCGUACACCAAAAUGCACAGGCUGUGAACUCGAAGAGUAGGGCGGGACACGUGGUAUCCUGUCUGAAUAUGGGGGGACCAUCCUCCAAGGCUAAAUACUCCUGACUGACCGAUAGUGAACCAGUACCGUGAGGGAAAGGCGAAAAGAACCCCGGCGAGGGGAGUGAAAAAGAACCUGAAACCGUGUACGUACAAGCAGUGGGAGCACCUUCGGGUGUGACUGCGUACCUUUUGUAUAAUGGGUCAGCGACUUAUAUUCUGUAGCAAGGUUAACCGUAUAGGGGAGCCGCAGGGAAACCGAGUCUUAACUGGGCGUUAAGUUGCAGGGUAUAGACCCGAAACCCGGUGAUCUAGCCAUGGGCAGGUUGAAGGUUGGGUAACACUAACUGGAGGACCGAACCGACUAAUGUUGAAAAAUUAGCGGAUGACUUGUGGCUGGGGGUGAAAGGCCAAUCAAACCGGGAGAUAGCUGGUUCUCCCCGAAAGCU
rnacentral:rRNA from 1 species